CUACGGGAGGCUGCAGUGAGGAAUAUUGCGCAAUGGGGGAAACCCUGACGCAGCGACGCCGCGUGGAUGAUGAAGGCUUUCGGGUCGUAAAAUCCUGUCAGAAGGGAAGAAAUGCUAUAUGCCUAAUAUGUGUAUAGUUUGACGGUACCUUCAAAGGAAGCACCGGCUAACUCCGUGCCAGCAGCCGCGGUAAUACGGAGGGUGCAUGCGUUGUUCGGAAUUACUGGGCGUAAAGCGCGCGUAGGCGGCCUUUUAAGGCAGAUGUGAAAGUCCACGGCUCAACCGUGGAAGUGCAUUUGAUACUGGGAGGCUUGAGUACUGGAGGGGAUGGUGGAAUUCCCGGUGUAGAGGUGAAAUUCGUAGAUAUCGGGAGGAAUACCGGUGGCGAAGGCGACCAUCUGGCCAGAUACUGACGCUGAGGUGCGAAAGCGUGGGGAGCAAACAGGAUUAGAUACCCUUGUAGUC
rnacentral:rRNA from 1 species